AUUGAACGCUGGCGGCAUGCCUUACACAUGCAAGUCGAACGGCAGCAUAGGAGCUUGCUCCUGAUGGCGAGUGGCGAACGGGUGAGUAAUAUAUCGGAACGUGCCCUAGAGUGGGGGAUAACUAGUCGAAAGACUAGCUAAUACCGCAUACGAUCUACGGAUGAAAGUGGGGGAUCGCAAGACCUCAUGCUCCUGGAGCGGCCGAUAUCUGAUUAGCUAGUUGGUGGGGUAAAAGCCUACCAAGGCAACGAUCAGUAGCUGGUCUGAGAGGACGACCAGCCACACUGGGACUGAGACACGGCCCAGACUCCUACGGGAGGCAGCAGUGGGGAAUGUUGGACAAUGGGGGCAACCCUGAUCCAGCAAUGCCGCGUGGGUGAAGAAGGCCUUCGGGUUGUAAAGCUCUUUUGUCAGGGAAGAAACGGUAGUAGCGAAUAACUAUUACUAAUGACGGUACCUGAAGAAUAAGCACCGGCUAACUACGUGCCAGCAGCCGCGGUAA
rnacentral:rRNA from 1 species